UACGGGGGGGGUAAGCGUUGUUCGGAAUUACUGGGCGUAAAGGGCUCGUAGGUGGCCAACUAAGUCAGACGUGAAAUCCCCUCGGCUUAACCGGGGAACUGCGUCUGAUACUGGAUGGCUUGAGUUUGGGAGAGGGAUGCGGAAUUCCAGGUGUAGCGGUGAAAUGCGUAGAUAUCUGGAGGAACACCGGUGGCGAAGGCGGCAUCCUGGACCGGCAUUGACGCUGAGGCGCGAAAGCCAGGGGAGCAAACGGG
rnacentral:rRNA from 1 species